GGUUUCGUAGUGCAGUUGGUCGUCGCACCACUCUAGUACACUGGUGGUCCCUUGUUCGAGUCCGGGUGAAAUCU